rnacentral:rRNA from 1 species
GACGAACGCUGGCGGCGUGCUUAACACAUGCAAGUCGAACGGAAAGGCCCUGCUUUUGUGGGUUGCUCGAGUGGCGAACGGGUGAGUAACACGUGAGUAACCUGCCCUUGACUUUGGGAUAACUUCAGGAAACUGGGGCUAAUACCGGAUAGGAUCUCCUGCUGCAUGGUGGGGGUUGGAAAGUUUCGGCGGUUGGGGAUGUACUCGCGGCUUAUCAGCUUGUUGGUUGGGUAGUGGCUUACCAAGGCUUUGACGGGUAGCCGGCCUGAGAGGGUGAACGGCCACAUUGGGACUGAGAAACGGCGCAGAAGCCAACGGGAGGCAGCAGGGGGGAAUAUUGCACAAUGGGCGGAAGCCUGAGGCAGCAACGCCGCGAGCGGGAUGACGGCCUUCGGGUUGUAAACCGAUUUCGACUGUGACGAAGAGUGAGUGACGGUAAUGGGUAAAGAAGCACCGGCUAACUACGUG